CAGGGCGCUGUGCUGCGUCUGCCCUUGAGGGGCCGGGGUCCCUGGGGAAGGCGCCAUAGAGCGCCAUCGUUGGCAUGUGCCCCCUCCCCGUCUUCGAGGUGUGUGGGAGGCGCUGGCAUCACUUAAUGAGGCCUCCUCGGCUGCCAGGAGGAGUUGAAACAGGUUCUGGGUGAGCAUGGCUUGCCAAGCAGUGCACAGGUCUGCACCUGGGAUCCGAACUGACAAACCCUGGGCUGCCGAAGUGGAACAUGUGAACUUAACCACGAUGCCACCAGGCCGGCUCCAUGAGGGCGUUUUCUUAAAAGCUUUGUUUAAAACGACAGAGAGAGAGGGGUGGGGAGAAAGAGAGAGACACUUGGGUUCAUUGCCUCGAUUUCCAAUAAUGCCCAAAACUUGAAGCAACCACGUCUGAAUUGAGAGGGCUGUGUGACUGACAGCUGUGGUUCGGAUCCCAGCUCUGCCUGCCCCCUGGCUGACCUUGGGCAGGGGGCCUCACUGCUCCGGCCUCAGUUUCCCCAUCUGUGAAAUGAGGACAAUACCAGUCCGUCCACCUGCCCGCUUGUGAAGAUUAAAUGAGUUAAAGCGUGUAGUUCAUGAACAGUGGCAACUCCAGUGUGAACAAUUUGGUGACAGUCUUUCCAGACGUUUCUCUCUGUACCUGCAUACGUGGAUAGAGGUGAACAUGACACUGUAUCAAUCGGAUCACCUCCUCUUCCCUCAGUAAUUGAUCACAAGCAUUUUCUCACAUCCAAGAACGUAGCACUCCUCCGUCAUUUAAAAAUGUUUAACUUUCGUUAAUUUUCGUCAGUAGCUAAUACAUUCACACAGCCCCAAAUACCAGAAGUACGAGACAUAACAGUACAAGUCUGUCCCCUCCUGCCGGGUCCCCAGCCUCUCAGGUCCUCCCUGAGACCUUUCCUUGUUUUGCUUUCCAGAAGGGUUCCACGCACCUACAAACAAAAACAUUUAUUUGCUUUCUGUUUUCCCUCAG
rnacentral:lncRNA from 1 species